CCGUAGCCCAAGAGAUCGGGAUAACACCUGGAAACAGAUGCUAAUACCGGAUAACAACAGAUGAUGCCUAUCAACUGUUUAAAAGAUGGUUCUGCUAUCACUCUUGGAUGGACCUGCGGUGCAUUAGCUAGUUGGUAGGGUAACGGCCUACCAAGGCGAUGAUGCAUAGCCGAGUUGAGAGACUGAUCGGCCACAUUGGGACUGAGACACGGCCCAAACUCCACGGGAGGCAGCAGCC
rnacentral:rRNA from 1 species